ensembl:lncRNA
CCGGGUGAAACCACUCCCCUCUGCAUGCAGGGGCCAUGGCCCUGCCGUUGCUUUUGGAUCUGCUUUUGGUGGAUCUGGGCCGCAGGCCUGGCCAAUCAGAGUACUGCAUCCUGCUCGCAGGGAUGGGCUCAGGGAAGGUCACAUGACCCAGCCAGGGCCAAUGAGUUGCAAUCUUGGGACAUUUGCGUGAGAAGCCCUUUCCUCCCACUGAACUCAGGGCCGAGAGGAGGAUGCAGUCAUGGAUGAUGUCAUAUUGUUGAUGUGAUAUUGACCAUGAGGUAAUAUUAGCGGUGGGACAUGGGAGCUGCCUGCAGCCAUUUUGCCACUGGACAGAGAGACCCCACCUGAGAACGGUACCAAUGCAAGCAGAAUGGGACCAAGAGAGGCAGAGAGAACAUCCCUUCCUUUAUUCCUUCUGCAUCUAUUGGUUAAGCCCUACUCUGUGCAGUGCCUGUUCCUGGCCUGGGGAACAGCAGUGACCAAGAUGAAGUCCCCGUCCUCAGGAGUCAUCGACAUUCUAGCAUAAAUGUAAACAGGAGCCAGCAGUCACCCCCUAGACCAAAUCUGAGCUGGACUCUCUGCCACUGGCUCCUCCAGGCCCGAGGCAAUCUAUGUUGUUGGGUGAGCAAAUAGGAGAGUCUCCCAUUGUGCGGACAGGCCACAGCUCCUCGAGCCGGCCCCCUCGUGGGGAACACUUGAGUUGCUCCCCAUCUUUUGCUGUUGUAGUCGGUCAAUACCUCAUCCACGUGCCGGCUCAUAUGCACAAAGUGGAGCAUCCGUGCACUACAUCAAGGGAGAAAUCAAGAUACAGAACCGUCUAUAGGCAUAUGUUAUGUUUUGCACAAGAAGGAGGGAAAAUCAGAAUAUGUCUUCAUCCUUGGUAUACUUCCAUAAAGAUACUCUGGAAGGACAGACAAAAACCUAACAACCUUACCAGCCUCUUGUGGUUGGUGGGGGCUGGGGACCUGGAUGACAGUGCAGAGUGGGAGAGAGACCUCCUCUUUCACCUUCUAGCCUUGUUUUGCUUUUAGAACCACGUGAUUGUAUUACUCGGUUUAAAACAACGACAGCAGAAAGCGUAAACAAGUGCAGCCAUGGUACGUAGAUGUGACCUAAAUCCUGAAGGUGGCAGUUGGUGGCUGAAUUUGGAACUGCUCCCUCCUGUGGUCUUGGGGUGUCUCUUAGGCCCAGAUUCCUCCUUCACCACAGGAGCCAACAGGGCGCUGGGGAGAGAAUGGAGGUGACACUUGCGAAUUCGGACGCCCGCCCCGCGGUGUGCAUGUGAGUGCCAGCAGCUCGCAUGCCUGCCCACACCACCCCCUUUCUCCCCUUGUCCUGGGGCGUUGGUUAGGGGACCUCUUGCUGAAACCAGACACUUUAAAUGCUCCCUCCCUCCUAGGAGAGAAGAGUCCAGAGGGGCCUGCCCGAGCUCUGGAACAGUCAAGGGACAGGCCACAUUGGCCCCGUGACAUCUUAUAGAUGUCACCUGUUCCUGCCAGUGCAGCCACGAUCAGCCCCACACACGGGAAGGCAGCAGAGCAGCCCGAGCCUGUGUUCCCGGCACUCUGUGGAGGCUGAGCUGGGCACACAUCUUCAGGUCACCCCUCUGCAGCCCGACUGGGGGAGAGCGAGGAGCCGGUGGCUGGGGGAGGGCCGCGCGCCUGUUCUGUCUCCAACUGCCUUUGUUCGAGAAUAAACACGCUGGGGCUGUCUCCCUACCUGAAAGCCACAUCUGCUGGAGAGAGAAAUCGUUGACAAUCUCUGCUUUAGAUGUACAGAAAGUCUGAAAUUGCUUGGCGACCAGGCAGGAGGGAGCCUGGGCGAGGCCGGGGGAUCCAGGCAGCAGCUGUAAAACCUUUUUCCUAAAACUGCCCUCAAGCAUGAUGAACAGGAGACAUUCGGAGCUGUUAACACCCUCCAGUUAAUUCAUAGCUCUUGAAAGUUCUCACAUACAUUGCCCUGAAGGCCCUUCCUGGUUUAACGCUGUGUGUGGUCGCGACGGCUCUGGCAGCACGGUCAUCCAGGCACGGGGAGUGCACCCAGGCUCUCGGUCCCGCUGGUGGCACCUGAUGUUCGUAAGAACUUUUCGAGAGCUGGCUCACCUUACAAAGAGGGAAGAUCGAGGCUCAGGCCCUGGUGCAGCAGAGCUGGGGUUUGAACCGCCGUCCCUCCACCAUCCUGAGCUCCUGGUGCAGGGAGAGCUGGGUGUGCUUCCGACCUUCUGGGGUGGCCCUGGAGUGAACUUGGUGGCCAUGCCAGCGCCACCCCUGGUGAGCCUCUGCAGCCCGUCCCUGGAUCCUACUGAGAAACUGCCCUGGCAGGUGGGAGGAGUGGAGCCUGGGGGAUCUUGGGGUCUUGGCGUCCACGCAUGGAUGGGAAAAGAUAGUGCCAGCUCCGGCCUCUCCGGGGAAGGGAAGGGAAAAAUGCAACACCAACUAUGUUUGCAGAGAAAUAAAAAAUGAUUUUAAAUUCUAUUUUCCUGUCUCUCUCAGCAUGUCCCCUGGCACUAUUUUAUCUAGUAAAUAGGAGGCCUAGUUGUUAUUCUCAAUUAUGAUAUUAAUUCUCUGGGUGACCCUGGGCUACUUACCUCCCUGCUCGGAGCUGGCUUCUCUAUCUGUCACUACCUGCUCAAGGACAAAAAGAGCUUCUGCAGGAAGGGAGCGCCCUGUGCCUG